GAUGAACGCUGGCGGCGUGCCUAAUACAUGCAAGUCGAGCGAACAGACGAGGAGCUUGCUCCUCUGACGUUAGCGGCGGACGGGUGAGUAACACGUGGAUAACCUACCUAUAAGACUGGGAUAACUUCGGGAAACCGGAGCUAAUACCGGAUAAUAUAUUGAACCGCAUGGUUCAAUAGUGAAAGACGGUUUUGCUGUCACUUAUAGAUGGAUCCGCGCCGCAUUAGCUAGUUGGUAAGGUAACGGCUUACCAAGGCAACCAUGCGUAGCCGACCUGAGAGAGUGAUCGGCCACACUGGAACUGAGACACGGUCCAGACUCCUACGAGAGGCAGCAGUAGGGAAUCUUCCGCAGUGGGCGAAAGCCUGACGGAGCAACGCCGCGUGAGUGAUGAAGGUCUUCGGAUCGUAAAACUCUGUUAUUAGGGAAGAACAAAUGUGUAAGUAACUAUGCACGUCUUGACGGUAACUAAUCAGAAAGCCACGGCUAACUACGUG
rnacentral:rRNA from 1 species